GGCAUGGGGACGGCGAUCUCCCCACGAGGCCACGGCCGAAGCAUCGCGUUCCAAGCCUCAAGCAGGAGGGACGCGCCAUG
rfam:Lutibaculum baratangense AMV1 contig00005, whole genome shotgun sequence.